CCUACGGGUGGCAGCAGUGAGGAAUAUUGGUCAAUGGUCGGGAGACUGAACCAGCCAAGCCGCGUGAGGGAGGAAGGUACAGAGUAUCGUAAACCUCUUUUGUCAGGGAACAAAGGGAGGGACGUGUCCCCGGUUGAGUGUACCUGAAGAAAAAGCAUCGGCUAACUCCGUGCCAGCAGCCGCGGUAAUACGGAGGAUGCGAGCGUUAUCCGGAUUUAUUGGGUUUAAAGGGUGCGCAGGCGGUCUGUUAAGUCAGCGGUCAAAUCUCGGGGCUCAACCCCGGACCGCCGUUGAAACUGGCAGUCUCGAGUGCGAGAGAGGUAUGCGGAAUGCGUGGUGUAGCGGUGAAAUGCAUAGAUAUCGCGCAGAACUCCGAUUGCGAAGGCAGCAUGCCGGCCCGCCACUGACGCUGAGGCACGAAAGCGUGGGUAUCGAACAGGAUUAGAUACCCUGGUAGUC
rnacentral:rRNA from 1 species